rnacentral:rRNA from 1 species
CCUACGGGCGGCAGCAGUGAGGAAUAUUGGUCAAUGGACGAGAGUCUGAACCAGCCAAGUAGCGUGAAGGAUGACUGCCCUAUGGGUUGUAAACUUCUUUUAUAAAGGAAUAAAACGAGGCACGUGUGCCUUUUUGCAUGUACUUUAUGAAUAAGGAUCGGCUAACUCCGUGCCAGCAGCCGCGGUAAUACGGAGGAUCCGAGCGUUAUCCGGAUUUAUUGGGUUUAAAGGGAGCGUAGAUGGGUUGUUAAGUCAGUUGUGAAAUUUUGCGGCUCAACCGUAAAAUUGCAAUUGAUACUGGCAGUCUUGAGUACAGUUGAGGUAGGCGGAAUUCGUGGUGUAGCGGUGAAAUGCUUAGAUAUCACGAAGAACCCCGAUUGCGAAGGCAGCUUACUAAACUGUGACUGACAUUGAUGCUCGAAAGUGUGGGUAUCAAACAGGAUUAGAUACCCUUGUAGUC